CCGUAUUUAUAUGAUGCGAUAAACAGAAACUACCCGGCCCCCCUCGCCGUGUGCGGCACGGCUGUUUCGUUUAAUCUUCGCUAUUGUCGCGAGGGGCGCACGGCCUCGCGGCCACGGGAAACCGAUUUCCGCGUUGUCUCAUUGCCGCACGUUCUCAUCUUUUUCGCGUGUAGGGCUAUUUCAGGACGAAUCGAUCAUUAGUUUUGCGCUGUGUGUUUAGGUACCUUGAGGGUGAUGAGAUGUGACGUAGGGAUGGUAUAUUCUGUAUAUAUUAUUACAGUAAAAGAGCCGUUCAUUGCACAAGUCGAUUAACUCCCUGAAACAAAAUGUUGAGAAAUGGGAUUAAAUAUAAAAACGAACGGCUCAAAUGUCAUUAUUUUAUCGCGAUGCAUUGGACGGAUGCCCGGCACAACUGCACGUAAAAGGAAUCUUGAAUCUCGCGACGUUCUCCGAAUAGCAGUGCACGCAUCAGACCACUGAGGUACAAAGGAAGAUCGAUGGAAGCUGAUUCUCUCCAUCUCUCUUGGGCCUCCACUGUCAGCUCCUCCAGAACGUUGCACGAGCCGCGACGUAAUGGAUGAUGCAACACAGGUGGCUGGCAGUCUUCGAUGAAAAAUUAAUUGAGCCUAGAAAAUACACAUUUUUCAUCUUAAUAAGAUACCUGAUGGAAACUAGUUAAUCAAGAUUAAUUUAGUAAUUUGCAGUCGCAUUGAUUUUAAUUGUGAUGUGCAGCCAUAAAGGGAGAAUAUAUACAUGUAAGUAUAGACUUAGAUGCAAAUAAUUGAAGAAUUUGUUUAGAGGUAUUUGUUCAUUAAUUUUUGCAUUAUUUUUAAAAAUUUGUUUACCUACUUGUAAACAAUACCUCUCAUAUUUUUUAUCACAUUCCUUUCAAAUCACUUUCUAAUCACAGAAAUUGCAAUUGCUUUUUAAAUCAUCGUAUCCUUCUAAUAGACUCUCUUUGUCACUUCGUGAGGAAACGUUCAAUACCUUGACAGGGUUUGAAGCUUCCAUAAAAUAAAUUCAUGGGAGAUAGAUAAUCUCUCCCGGCGUCAAGACGUAAAUAGCAAUUCUAGAAGAAAAAUUAGCUGUUAAGCGUCAGCGAGAUUGGUUUUUUAAAGAAAUUUGCCACCUUCCGGAAGUGUCUGCGAGGCGACAUAUUUAGCAAAGUCUUUUUCUGUCGUCCUCUCGAUGAAAUCUGCCGAGACAACGACGAGGCUAGGCGGAUGAUUUUCACCCCCCGAAGCGAGGGAAAAAUUAACGGUGGUCGUUACGGAGGUAGACGCAAUUUUGAUUCUAUCUGUUGUCGACGCACGGGAACGAAGCAGCAGAUGAAGUCGCAAAGUAAUACCUGAAAAUCUCACGAAGAGCAAAACGGCGAAAGUUAUCUCGUAAGCCCCUAAUAAUUUUCAUCGCUAAUACUUUCUUGCCUUACAUUUUCCUGGUUCUGUCCAUUCUCACCUUUUUCCAGUACGAUUAUUCUCUUAAUAUUUUUCCUCUUAUUCCAUUAAAAUUAUGCGCGAAGAACUUUUGAUUUCGGAGUAUUAUUGCUCAAUUAAAUAUUCACCUGUCGAAGACUCGUCCAUUGUUUGAUCGAUAGUGUCGCUGUGACGCGUAGCAUGGAGUAAUUAAUACGACAAAAAGUGAGUUGCCCAUUAUCUAAAAUGUAAUAUCUUCAUUAAUUGGCACUUAUAUUACUGGAACAAUGGCAACGUUUAAUGUCUUCGCUUUACAGCGUAUCUCUGACAUUCAACAAGUGCAAGCAAUUCUCACGUACAAAGGCGUAUGGUUCAUAGAGGUACAUUCAUCUUGAUACUUGAUAUCAGCAGCGAAGUGUCAAGCAACUGCUCCGUGCAUUCGUAUGCAGAUGGACUGUCGCUUGAUUGGAGAAUUAACCGCCGCUUCUCCUUGGCUGACGAUGGAAUAAUGUACUGUUCGUCUUCCCGGUUCAAACCUGCUCGAAUUCCAAGAAACACCUACGUCAAUUUGCAAGAUCGCGCAAUUUCUUAUCAGCGUGAAGCACACGAAAUCCGAUGAAAACGACGUCGGAAGAGCGAAACUGAAAAGCAACGAAGCGGCGCAUCUGGCACAGCGGCGGAGACCACCGCGUCAUUAUUUAUGGGGUUUACGGGGUUCGGUCAACCGCAAGGGUAGCUGAAGGCACUACGCCCUUGAGGACUCGAGCUCCCAAGUCGGGGUGUUGCCAAGUGUGAACCGAGAAGGCGUUGCUGUUUACUAUCUCGCCACGAAGAUCCAACCGACCUCCCGAGCAUACGUUUGCGUAUAUUGUUGGUCCGUGGUCGCAUUCCCUGGUCCCAUCAUCUCCCGCUGAAAACAAUGAGUUUAGUAGCAACUGCUUCACAAGGGAAGUUAACGUUUACCUGUUUAAGGUAAUACGAACAUCAGGAACCCCCCGUGACCGCUAACGAACGCGGAAUACCUUCUGUCAUUAGCGAACGGAAUGGAAAUGUCGGAAGUUAACCCCUUUAAUGGCUCUGUUACCUUUUUUCCGGAAGUUUUUCGUUUGUAGUGUUGAUUGGGGGUUGCUAGACCAUUUUCUAUUUAUUGUUCUUGUGAAAUUUGUCGAAGCAUAAAUGUACACCAUAAGAAUGCCUUAAAGUGUCUGAACUUGAACUGAAUUUUAUUAACAGAAACAUAAAGUUAUAAAUACAUUCUUCAAUUCUCACAAGAAAACAAAACAAAUAAAUGUAAACAAACCAC